AUUGAACGCUGGCGGCAGGCCUAACACAUGCAAGUCGAACGGUAACAGGAAGAUGUUUGCUUCUUUGCUGAUGAGUGGCGGACGGGUGAGAAAUGUCUGGGAAACUGUCUGAUGGAGGGGGACAACUACUGGAAACGGUAGCUAAUACCGCAUAACGUCGCAAGCCUAAAGAGGGGGACCUUCUGGCCUCUUGCCAUCGGAUGUGCCCAGAUGGGAUUAGCUAGUAGGUGGGGUAACGGCUCACCUAGGCGACGAUCCCUAGCUGGUCUGAGAGGAGGACCAGCCACACUGGAACUGGAACACGGUCCAGACUCCUACGAGAGGCAGCAGUGUGGAAUAUUGCACAAUGGGCGCAAGCCUGAUGCAGCCAUGCCGCGUGUAUGAAGAAGGCCUUCGGGUUGUAAAGUACUUUCAGCGGGGAGAAAGGGAGUAAAGUUAAUACCUUUGCUCAUUGACGUUACCCGCAGAAGAAGCACCGGCUAACUCCGUG
rnacentral:rRNA from 1 species